CCUACGGGGGGCUGCAGUGGGGAAUAUUGCACAAUGGGGGAAACCCUGAUGCAGCGACGCCGCGUGAGUGAAUAAGUAUCUCGGUAUGUAAAGCUCUAUCAGCAGGGAAGAAAAUGACGGUACCUGAUCAAGAAGCUCCGGCUAACUACGUGCCAGCAGCCGCGGGAAGACGUAGGGGGCAAGCGUUAUCCGGAUUUACUGGGUGUAAAGGGAGCGUAGACGGGAGCGCAAGUCAGAAGUGAAAUGCCGGGGCUUAACCCCGGAACUGCUUUGGAAACUGUGCAGCUAGAGUGCAGGAGAGGUAGGUGGAAUUCCUGGUGUAGCGGUGAAAUGCGUAGAUAUUAGGAAGAACACCGAUGGCGAAGGCGGCUUACUGGACUGUAACUGACGUUGAGGCUCGAAAGCGUGGGGAGCAAACAGGAUUAGAUACCCCUGUAGUC
rnacentral:rRNA from 1 species